rnacentral:tRNA from 1 species
GGGGCUGUAGCUCAGUGGUAGAGCACUUUCCUUGCAUGUGUGAGGUGCUGGGUCCAAUCCUCAGCACCA